rnacentral:rRNA from 1 species
AUUGAACGCUGGCGGAAUGCUUUACACAUGCAAGUCGAACGGCAGCACGGACUUCGGUCUGGUGGCGAGUGGCGAACGGGUGAGUAAUGUAUCGGAACGUGCCCAGUCGUGGGGGAUAACGUAGUGAAAAUUACGCUAAUACCGCAUACGAUCUAUGGAUGAAAGCGGGGGAUCGCAAGACCUCGCGCGAUUGGAGCGGCCGAUAUCAGAUUAGGUAGUUGGUGGGGUAAAGGACCACCAAGCCAACGAUCUGUAGCUGGUCUGAGAGGACGACCAGCCACACUGGAACUGCGACACGGUCCAGACUCCUACGGGAGGCAGCAGUGGGGAAUUUUGGACAAUGGGCGAAAGCCUGAUCCAGCCAUUCCGCGUGCAGGAUGAAGGCCCUCGGGUUGUAAACUGCUUUUGUACAGAACGAAAAGGUUUCUACUAAUACUAGGAGCUCAUGACGGUACUGUAAGAAUAAGCACCGGCUAACUACGUGCCAGCAGCCGCGGUAA